UAUUUUUACCCCUAUGAUGUUUAGUUAUUACAUGUCCUCCAGCUCCCAUGGGCUAUGGCACUUCCUUGUAAUGCCCUUUUUUCUGAUGACCUUCACAGACAAGAUAUUUCAUGCAGUACCCCUUCAUCAGGACCUCUCUGGCAUUCUUCUCAUAGAGUAAGACAAUGACCUCAAUGGAGAAACACCACAGAAUUAAAGCACCCUUCCCCAUCACCUCCUGUCAAGGGCUUAUGAGGUUACUGUUGCUGCUGACCCUGAUUACCUCUUUGAACCACAUGGGAAUUUUUGUCUUGAUUCACUCAACAAAUGUUUAUUGAGCACCUGCCAAAUUUUAAUAGUGCAUUAAGGGAUUAGAGCAUAAAUUAAGAUACUGCUUUGUCCUCAAAUCAUAAUGAAGCAAGCAAGGACAGAAGCCAUUGGUACAAAAUGUAUGUAGGGGGCUGGGGAAACAGCUUGGUGGUUAAGACAUGUGCCAUGUGUGAGGACUGGAAGUCAGAUCCUUGGUACCCACUUAGUGUCUGACGGGUGUUAGGGCCCACCUUCUGCCUAGGUAUGCUAGCAAUGUAAAUGAACUCAGGGAUUCUCAGCUAGACCAGGACUGUAGCUUGACUGGCAGAAUGCUUACCCAGAAUAGAUGAUAAUGUCAGCAAUUGAAGAAGAUGCUGCAUAUCAACCUCUGCUCUCUGCAUGAAUCCAAGUACAUAUAUGUUAAUCCUCCUCCCCAUGUGCAAACACACACACAUAUGUAGGGGGAAGCAUGUAUAUUGGGCUAAGGUGUGGAUUUUCAGGGGGAAAAUUCAGGAUAGUAGAACAAGAUUGAAAGAAAGACUUCAUGGUAAUCAUGCUUGUGGUGGGGCUAGAGAGAUGUUUCAGUGACUAAGAGCACUUAUCACUCUUUCCAAGUUCAGUUCCCAGCACUCAUGUGAUGGCUUACAAUCAUCCUUAACUCCAGUUCCAGAGAAUACAACACCCUCUUCUAAGAUCUGAGGACACCAGGUACACAUACAUACAUCCAGGCCAAGCACUCAUACACAUAAAAUGAAUCUAAGAAAUGAAAAAAGAAUGUUCAAAGCUGGAGGAUGACUCGGUAGGUAAAAGCACUUACCAGCAAAUGUGACAGACAGCCUUAGUUCAAUCCUAGGAAUGUACAUGAUGGAGCACAGAACUGAUCUCAUGAAUGGUUCUCACACCUUCACAUGCAUGCUGUGGGGCACAAACAUCCACACCACUACUAAUUAAUUAAUUAAUUAAUUAUAGUUUCAUUGAAAAAAAAGGGAUUCUCAGCUAGACCAGGACUGCAGCUUGACUGGCAGAAUGCUCACCCAGAAUGCUCCAGGCUCUGGGUUCUAUCCUCAGUACCGUAUAAAAUUGAACAUGGUGAUGAUACCUGUAAACAAAGCACAAAGAAUAGAAACGGAAGGAGGAAGAAAGCAUGUGUUGGAUUCAACUGCAUACAUUAGGCCAAAGGGGCCUUUCCAAAAUCUCACCCUCGUUCACAAGCCCUCAAAGAGAAGGCUUUGAUUACUGCAGGAUGGUUUGACUUCCUUUGGUGUUCCAUCCCUCUCCCAACUUUGUUUUGUUUUGUUAGUUUGUUUUUCUCAGUACUGGGAAUUUUAUUUUUGAGUACAGAACACUUGCAUCAUUUGUACUUUGUAUACACUGUGAGUUAUGAACACUAACAUGUACAUUUACAUGGGUGAAUACUUCAAUUGUCUCGGGUAAACGUCUAGUGAGAAACUGCUAGAUCCUACUGUAACUUAUUACUUCCAGAGAUUCUCUGACUGCUCCAUUCUGAGCACUCAUCUGGAUCUAUCAUAUACAUUCUGGGUGACUGUUUCUUACCAGGAAGAUCCAGAGUGACUCCUGCCUUAAAGUGAGAGGUCAUCAAGUCUUGUGGAGGAGCUGCGAAGGGCCAGCUGGCAAUCGUGGCUAACCACUGGUAGAAAGAAAAGGCAAGAGAUGAACGCUUCACUUACACUAGCUUGUUUAGACUGAGAAUAGGGCUGAAGGGAUGCUCCUUUGGAUGCUCUUGCAGAGGACUCAGGUUCUCUUCCCAGCACCCACAUGGUAGCUUACAACCAUCCUUAACUCCAGUUCGAAAGAUCCAGGAGCUUCUUUUGGCCCUCAUGGGCACCAGGCACGCAUAUGGUAUACUUACGUACAAGCAGUGAACAUUUAUAU
rnacentral:lncRNA from 1 species